GAUGAACGCUGGCGGCGCGCCUAACACAUGCAAGUCGAACGAUUAAAGCACCUUCGGGUGUGUAUAAAGUGGCGAACGGCUGAGUAACACGUGGGCAACCUGCCCCUUUCAUUGGGAUAGCAACGGGAAACCGUGGAUAAUACCGAAUACUUCGAGACUUCCGCAUGGAAGACUCGAGAAAGCUCCGGCGGAGAGGGAUGGGCCCGCGGCCUGUUAGCUUGUUGGUGGGGUAACGGCCUACCAAGGCAAUGAUGGGUAGCUGGGUUGAGAGACCGACCAGCCAGAUUGGGACUGAGACACGGCCCAGACUCCUACGGGAGGCAUCAGUGGGGAAUCUUGCACAAUGGGCGAAAGCCUGAUGCAGCGACGCCGCGUGCGGGAUGAAGGCCUUCGGGUUGUAAACCGCUUUCAGCAGGGACGAGGCGAAAGUGACGGUACCUGCAGAAGAAGCCCCGGCUAACUACGUG
rnacentral:rRNA from 1 species